CGGGUGAGUAACACGUGGAUAACCUACCCAUAAGACUGGGAUAACUUCGGGAAACCGGAGCUAAUACCGGAUAAUAUUUUGAACCGCAUGGUUCAAAAGUGAAAGACGGUCUUGCUGUCACUUAUAGAUGGAUCCGCGCUGCAUUAGCUAGUUGGUAAGGUAACGGCUUACCAAGGCAACGAUGCAUAGCCGACCUGAGAGGGUGAUCGGCCACACUGGAACUGAGACACGGUCCAGACUCCUACGGGAGGCAGCAGCC
rnacentral:rRNA from 1 species